UCCCCUGGGGGUCCCCUCACCCCAUCCCCUUCCCCCCAUCCCCAUGGGAUGCCCCCCUUUUCCCGUCCCCAUGGGGUCCCCUCACCCUGUCCCCUUUCCCCCAUCCCCAUGGGGUCCCGUGGGGGUCCCGUGGGGUCCCCCCGCACCCGCUGACCCCGCGGCCCCGCAGAGGAGACGUACGAGCAGCUGGCCAUGGAGACGCUGGAGGAGCUGGACUGGUGCCUGGACCAGCUGGAGGCCGUGCAGCCGCACCGCUCCGUCAGCGAGAUGGCCUCCAACAAGGUGGGGGACGCGGGGACAUCGUGGGGACGCCGUGGGGACAUGGGGACAUGGGGACAUCGUGGGGACAUGGGGACGUCGUGGGGACACGGGGACGUUGUGGGGACAUCAUAGGGACAUGGGGACAUCAUGGGGACAUCAUGGGGACAUGAGGACAACAUGGGGACAUCACUGGGACACCAUGGGGACAUGGGGACAUCAUGGGGACAUCAUGGGGACAUCAUGGGAACAUGGGGACAUCAUGGGGACAUGGGGACACCAUGGGGACAUGGGGACACCGUGGGGACAUCAUGGGAACAUGGGGACAUCAUGGGGACAUGAGGACAACAUGGGGACAUCAUGGGGAUAUGGGGACACAGGAACGUCAUGGAGACAUGAGGACACCAUGGGGACAUGGGGACACCGUGGGGACAUGGGGACACCAUGGGGACAUCAUGGGGACAUGGGGACACCAUGGGGACAUGAGGACACCGUGGGGACAUCAUGGGGACACCAUGGGGACAUGGGGAUACCAUGGGGACAUGGGGACAUCAUGUGGACAUCAUGGGGACAUCAUGGGGACAUGGGGACAUCAUGGGAACACCAUGGGGACAUGGGGACACCAUGGGGACAUCAUGGGGACAUGGGGACAUCAUUGGGACAGGAAUGGGGACAGCUCCAUCAUGGGGACAUGGGGACACCAUGGGGACACCAUGGGGACAUGGGGAUGUGGGGACAUCAUGGGGACAUCAUGGGGACAUGGCUCCACCAUGGGGACAGGAAUGGGGACAGCUCCAUCAUGGGGACAUGGGGAUGGGGCCCCUGCUGCGCCAUGGGGACCGGGGGGGAACGGCUCCACCAUGGGGACGGGGACGGUGCCAUCGUGGGGACAGGGAUGGGGACAUGGCUCCGUCAUGGGGACAACUCUGUCAUGGGGACAGGGAUGGGGACGUGGUUCCACCAUGGGGACGUGGCUCCGUCACGAGGACAGGGAUGGGGACGUGGCUCCGCCAUAGGGACAGGGAUGGGGACGGGGAUGGGGACAGCUCCGUCAUGGGGACACAUCUGGGGACAUGGCUCCAUCAUGGGGACAUGGCUCCACUGUGGGGACAGGAAUGGGGAUGGCACCGUCAUGGGGACACAUCUGGGGACAUGGCUCCGCCGUAGGGACAUGGAUGGGGACAGCUCCGUCAUGGGGUCAGGGAUGGGGACAGGGAUGGGGACAGCUCCAUGUGCUUGGGGACAUGGCUCCGCCAUAGGGACAGGAAUGGGGACAGGGAUGGGGACGGCACCGUCAUGGGGACAGGGAUGGGGCCAUGGGGUUGGGGACAGGAACCUGUCACCUUUAUGGGGUCAGGGACUGGGACAGGAACCUGGCACCGCCGUGGGGACACGAAUGGGACGCAGCUGCUAUGGGGACGGGGACGGGACCCUGCUCCAUAUGGGGACAGGGAUGGGGACAGGACCCCCGUUGUGCUGUGGGGACGGGUCCCCAGCGCCGCUGUGGGGUCAGGGACAGGGCUUUGGGGUCAGGAACGGGGUUUUGGGGACAGGGACAAGGCUUUGGGGUCAGGGAUGGGACUUUGGGGUCAGGGACAGGUCUUUGGGGUCAGGGAUGGGACUUUGGGGACAGGGACAAGGUUUUGGGGUCAGGGCCGGGGCUUUGGGGUCAGUGUCCGGGGCUGCUCGGGUGCGUGGUCCCCAGGGUGACCCUUGGGGUCCCCACCCCAUUUCUGGGUGGCCCUUGGGGGUCCCCA
rnacentral:lncRNA from 1 species